GGAGCACCUGGAAGCGGCCAGCCAGCAGAACCAGCAGCUAACAGCCCAGCCUAGCCUCAUGGCUCUCCCUGGGGAAGGACACGGAGGAGAACAUCUGGACAGUGAGGGGGAGGAGGCACCUCGCCCAUGCAGAGUGUCCCAGAGGACCUGGAGAACAGGGAGGCCAUGAGCAGCUUUAUGGACCACCUGGAGGAGAAGGCAGACCUGAGUGAGCUGGUGAAGAAAAAAGAACUUUGCUUCAUCCGCCACUGGCGAGAGAGUUGCCAUCAG
rnacentral:sRNA from 1 species